rnacentral:rRNA from 1 species
AGUCGAGCGGACUUGAUGAGAAGCUUGCUUCUCUGAUGGUUAGCGGCGGACGGGUGAGUAACACGUAGGCAACCUGCCCUCAAGCUUGGGACAACUACCGGAAACGGUAGCUAAUACCGAAUACUUGCUUUCUUCGCCUGAAGGAAGCUGGAAAGACGGAGCAAUCUGUCACUUGAGGAUGGGCCUGCGGCGCAUUAGCUAGUUGGUGAGGUAACGGCUCACCAAGGCGACGAUGCGUAGCCGACCUGAGAGGGUGAUCGGCCACACUGGGACUGAGACACGGCCCAGACUCCUACGGGAGGCAGCAGU